rnacentral:rRNA from 1 species
AGCAGCAGCCGCGGUAAUACGUAGGGUGCAAGCGUUGCACGGAAUGACUGGGCGUAAAGGGUGCGUAGGCGGCUUGACAAGUCUUGUGUGAAAUCUAUGGGCUCAACCCAUAGUCUGCACGGGAGACUGUCGGGCUUGAGAAUGGGAGAGGUGAGUGGAAUUUCCGGUGUAGCGGUGAAAUGCGUAGAUAUCGGAAGGAACACCUGUGGCGAAAGCGGCUCACUGGACCAUUUCUGACGCUGAUGCACGAAAGCUAGGGGAGCAAACAGGAUUAGAUACCCGCGUAGUCCCUGUCUCUUAUAC